rnacentral:rRNA from 1 species
UACGUAGGGGGCGAGCGUUGUCCGGAUUUAUUGGGCGUAAAGAGCUCGUAGGCGGUUUGGUAAGUUGGAUGUGAAAUCUCCAGGCUCAACUUGGAGGGGUCAUUCGAUACUGCCAUGACUAGAGUUCGGUAGGGGAGUGUGGAAUUCCUGGUGGAGCGGUGAAAUGCGCAGAUAUCAGGAGGAACACCCGUAGCGAAGGCGGCACUCUGGGCCGGAACUGACGCUGAGAAGCGAAAGCGUGGGGAGCGAACAGG